AUUGAACGCUGGCGGCGUGCUUAACACAUGCAAGUCGAUCGGUAACAGGUGUAGCAAUACAUGCUGACGAGAGGCGGACGGGUGAGUAAUGCUUGGGAAUCUGCCUAUUAGUGGGGGACAACCCGGGGAAACUCGGGCUAAUACCGCAUACGCUCUACGGAGGAAAGCCGGGGACCGCAAGGCCUGGCGCUAAUAGAUGAGCCCAAGUCGGAUUAGCUAGUUGGUAGGGUAANGGCCUACCAAGGCGACGAUCGGUAGCUGGUCUGAGAGGACGACCAGCCACACUGGGACUGAGACACGGCCCAGACUCCUACGGGAGGCAGCAGUGGGGAAUAUU
rnacentral:rRNA from 1 species